UCCGUAGGCGGGUCGAUAAGUCAGAGGUGAAAUCCCACAGCUUAACUGUGGAACUGCCUUUGAUACUGUUGGUCUUGAGUUAUAUGGAAGUAGAUAGAAUGUGUAGUGUAGCGGUGAAAUGCAUAGAGAUUACACAGAAUACCGAUUGCGAAGGCAGUCUACUACGUAUAUACUGACGCUAAUGGACGAAAGCGUGGGGAGCGAACAGGAUUAGAUACCCUGGUAGUCC
rnacentral:rRNA from 1 species